GGUGACGCCUUACUAUGAUUGCCAACUCCAGCAGAUUAUUGGAUCUUACCAUAGAUGAUUCUCUUGCCUAUCCGGAUCUUACUGCGCUGCCUGUGGGAGUUUUCAUGAGAAUGUGUGUGUGGCUUCAGAGCUCCUCCGCCCCCAUGACCCCAAUUUUUUCCGAAAGAAGGUCGAUCGAGUGUCUCAAGAGCCGUUGCAGCAUUCUAUCACAACUAUUAAAUGGUAGAAAAUUGCCAUCUCACCUGCAACAUAAGAAACAAUAUGGUUAUUAAGGAGUUGAAUAAAGAGGUGCCCAAUCUCAGACAGCAAUACAUACGUAACAUAUGUUUGCGUUU